UAGAUGGAACUUUUUACAAGUUUAUUUUUAACACAAGAUAUACAGCCACUGUAAUGGUUCCAUGGAUAUUAUAAGCGCUAUUGAAUAAUCCCCUGUAUUAUAACCAAGUUCAAUGAUGCAAUCUCAUAGAGAGAACUGGGUUACAGGUGAAAGUAGCUGGUUGUGGAGUUUUUGGCUCCUUCUUUUCUCCACUGAGUGAUUGAAGCGUAUAUUAAUGAUUAUAGGCAUCAUUUUAAGCCGAUUGGGCAUCCUGGGGAGCGAGGAAUGGGACUAAGGAACUCCGAUGGGACAUCUGCUGGCUUCAGACCCAGUAGCACAUUGGCCUAGUAACUCUCAAAGAGCAGACCGACCAGGAAAUUAGCAACGAGGUUGGGAAAGAAAACAAGAAAUGAGGUAACGAUGAUGUAGAAAUAAACUACCGUUGACGUCUUCCGUUCUGAAUCAAGAAGGCAACCAUGUUUUUUUUCACCCCUCCACCCCUAUUGGGAUAUUGGCAAGUUGUCAUGACGACAGGGAUGUUCUGCUGAUGAAGUCUCGCUCCUCGUUGUCCAAUCAGAUCGUGGAGUCUAAAACUGCAGUAUGAAACAGGAGAGGACGCACCUAUUCCAGUUGCACAAUGCCGAGAAGGACAGCCCGAUCCUGGACCACCUACGGACGAAAUGGACGAUUUGGGGGAGGCAGUUAAUGGAGCCGCCAUGGAUAAACAAAACACAACCCAGCGGGGGACGAGGAUGAGGGGCUGCCAGGCUAUGGCUCAAAGGACCACUCUAAUGUUGACCCAUGGAAAGGAGCUGUCAGAAGAUUGGAAGCGGUCCAGUGUGGACCAAUGGGAAUGGGUUCUGUCUGGAGAGGCUUGUCAAGGAACCAGGCUUGCGUCUGGAUGACAAUGGGACAAGAAAACAUCUGGACCAGUCGAAGACUGACUUUUUCUGUCCAGACCGACAUCGGCCAUCUUGAAAGUGAGAGGCAUGAAGAUGUGAUGUUCUCCCUUUAGUGUCCUCCAUUUAGUUUUUUUAUCUCACUGUCCAAUCCCCCUUUAGGCCCCGCUCCAGGACUCAUUAUUGAGAGCAUGACUUGGCAUGUUGUAAUGUAUGUUGUCAACAUGUUGAUGUAUCGUGAGUGUUAUUGUUCAUAUUCAGUUCAUUAUUGGCUUGUAAAGUUGAGUUUUUUUCAGUUUUGUUCUUCAUGUGAACCUUUAUUUUCAUUUCAUUUUCAUAAUUCUAACCAAUUUUGUCAGUGAAUGUUCCUUUGUGGGGGUUAUUCUUUGAAGUUUGUUUAGUUCUCUGUCAAUGGUAGACCCCGGACCCUGUUGUGCAAACUCCACAGUCCUCCAGGGUUGAACAUCCCCUCUCAGCUGUGUAGGAGGUCAAUAUUCUGACGUCUCCACACUGCAAACUAGGCCUGAGCCUUUGAGGAUUUGGCAGGGGCGAGACAGGGACAGCAGUAGGGUUGAACUGGGUUUAGUUUGGCUGCCGUGGGGGACUGUGGUUUGGACCGAUGUGUCGCUGCUGCAUUAACCCCUGUCACUCUUCAUAUCAGCAGACCAUGAGGAAUGUUGAGAUCUGUUGGCCACCGAUGUGACAUAACCCCUCACUUCCUAAUCAAUGUACCGUUACUAUGACACACCUGGUUAUAAAGACGUUAAAAAAAUUGCUCUAAUUACAUUGGUAAUCAGUUUAAAAUAUCAAUAAGGUACCUUGGGGGUUUGUGAUAUAUGGCCAAUAUACCACGGCUAUGGGCUCUAUCCAGGCACUCCUUGUUGCGUCGUGCAUAAGAACAGUCCUUAGCAGUGGUAUAUUGGCCAUAUUCAACACCUCCUCGGGCCUUACUGCUUUAAUAUACCCCACCCCCUCGUGCCUUACUGCUUCAGUAUAGUUAUCUAUAACUACCAGCACAUGUACCUAUUCUAUGACAUGUCCAUUUAUAAAGUCUUUAUAAACCAUUUAUAAACAGUCCAUAACAAUCAUGGUUACCUUGCAGCUUUGUGAAUAAAAAGGACAUUGAUUUGUGUGGCAUUCAUCAGGACUCAUGGUCUUGAUUGGUUCCCAUCAAAGCCAUUGUCCUUUCAAUGGAACUAAUGUGCCUGUGUCGCCAAGUCCUCUCAAUACAUCUGCACGGUAUUAUUGUCGUCUGGGAAUGUCUCGAAAUCCAGACUUCAUUUAGGUCCAUAUGUAUACCGUACAGCUGACCCCUCCCGUCCUGAAUGUCUGUAAUGGAUGUUAUAUGUACAUAACCUAAUGCAUAAAAUGCACAGAGUGAUAUUUCACAGUUUAACUAUUUGAAGCACUUUAAGUCCUAAUGUUUGUUUGAACACCGUGUCAAAUGAUCAAAUGUUUUCUUACUCGUUAUCCAUUAAUUUCAAAGGUAACAUUUUUCGACAAGGGCACAGAAAUGAGGCGAUACUGACGACGCCACAGUGUGACGACUGCCUGUGAUGCUUGUAAUACUUCGAGCUGGAUCUACACUUGAGCAUGUCAAAUGUGCCAGGUUAAAGCUCUCACGAUCCCAGUUUCCCGAAAUAGGUGCACAAUUUAUCCUGGUAUUUCAGUAAGGUUGUGUCUCAAAUGGCACCCUAUUUCCUAUGUAGUGCAUUACUUUUGACCAGGGCCCAUAAGGUUCUGGUCAAAAGUAGUUCACUUUAUAGGGAAUAGGGUGCCAUUUGGUAUGCACAACAGGAGGCCCUAUUUUUCUGGUGGGUUGUGCUGCUGCUCCAUAACGCGUGGCUGACUGGGUAGACUGGUGUUCUCCUAAGCUGAUCUGUAGUCCUCAUUCCUAUCCUCUGGUGUCAGCACUUCUUAAAGUGGGCUGCCGGAGCCUCAGCACUUUCCCCGAAGCCUAGAAAAAGAGUGGAGAAAAUCCGGUUAAAUCCACACAACUCUGGAAUGCAUUUUCAUUAAAAGGCGUUUGUUUGAAGGGAUUGUGUGGUUGAGGGAGAGCGAAUAUCAGAAGAGAUCAGAUUGAAUGGCUGAUUGCUACGUACUGUAGUCGGAGAAGUAAUGUUAGAGAGAGGAGGGCGAGAGAGAAAUGACCUGACCAAGACACAUUUAUUUGGCUGCCUGGUUGCUAACAAGGUGUUAGAACUGUAAAAAAUAAAAGUUUUAUCCCA